UACGUAGGGUGCGAGCGUUGUCCGGAAUUAUUGGGCGUAAAGAGCUUGUAGGUGGUUUGUCGCGUCUGCUGUGAAAAUCCGAGGCUCAACCUCGGACUUGCAGUGGGUACGGGCAGACUAGAGUGUGGUAGGGGAGACUGGAAUUCCUGGUGUAGCGGUGAAAUGCGCAGAUAUCAGGAGGAACACCGAUGGCGAAGGCAG
rnacentral:rRNA from 1 species